rnacentral:rRNA from 1 species
GACGAACGCUGGCGGCGUGCUUAACACAUGCAAGUCGAACGGAAAGGCCCUGCUUUUGUGGGGUGCUCGAGUGGCGAACGGGUGAGUAACACGUGAGUAACCUGCCCUGGACUUUGGGAUAACUUCAGGAAACUGGGGCUAAUACCGGAUAGGAGCUCCUGCUGCAUGGUGGGGGUUGGAAAGUUUCGGCGGUUGGGGAUGGACUCGCGGCUUAUCAGCUUGUUGGUGGGGUAGUGGCUUACCAAGGCUUUGACGGGUAGCCGGCCUGAGAGGGUGACCGGCCACAUUGGGACUGAGAUACGGCCCAGACUCCUACGGGAGGCAGCAGUGGGGAAUAUUGCACAAUGGGCGGAAGCCUGAUGCAGCAACGCCGCGUGCGGGAUGACGGCCUUCGGGUUGUAAACCGCUUUCGCCUGUGACGAAGCGUGAGUGACGGUAAUGGGUAAAGAAGCACCGGCUAGCUACGUG